CACAGAGUUAGCCGAUGCUUAUUCCUCAGAUACCGUCAUUGUUUCUUCUCCGAGAAAAGAAGUUGACGACCCGUAGGCCUUCCACCUCCACGCGGCAUUGCUCCGUCAGGCUUUCGCCCAUUGCGGAAAAUUCCCCACUGCUGCCUCCCGUAGGAGUCUGGGCCGUGUCUCAGUCCCAAUGUGGCCGUCCACCCUCUCAGGCCGGCUACUGAUCGUCGCCUUGGUGGGCCGUUACCCCGCAACCAGCUAAUCAGACGCGGGCCCAUCCCAUACCACCGGAGUUUUUCACACACCUUCAUGCGAAGCUGUGCGCUUAUGCGGUUUUAGCACCUGUUUCCAGGUGUUACUCCCCCGGUAUGGGGCAGGUUCGCCCACGCGUUACUCACCCGUCCGCCACUAACUUACACUUCCGUUAGUCAAUGCAAGCAUCUCCUGCUUCUGUGUAAGUCCGUUCGACUUGCAUGUGUUAGGCACGCCGCAGCGUUCAUCCGUGAGCCAGGAUCAAACU
rnacentral:rRNA from 1 species